rnacentral:rRNA from 1 species
GACGAACGCUGGCGGCGUGCUUAACACAUGCAAGUCGAGCGAGAAACUUCGGUUUCUAGCGGCGGACGGGUGAGUAACACGUGGGCAACCUGCCUCACAAUGGGGGAUAGCCUUCCGAAAGGAAGAUUAAUACCGCAUAACACAAAGGAAACGCAUGUUUCUUUUGCCAAAGAAUUUCGUUGUGGGAUGGGCCCGCGGCGCAUUAGCUUGUUGGUGAGGUAACGGCUCACCAAGGCGACGAUGCGUAGCCGACCUGAGAGGGUGAUCGGCCACAUUGGAACUGAGACACGGUCCAGACUCCUACGGGAGGCAGCAGUGGGGAAUAUUGCACAAUGGAGGAAACUCUGAUGCAGCAACGCCGCGUGAGUGAUGAAGGUCUUCGGAUUGUAAAACUCUGUCUUCUGGGGCGAUAAUGACGGUACCAGAGGAGGAAGCCACGGCUAACUACGUGCCAGCCGCCGCCGUAA